rnacentral:lncRNA from 1 species
AAGAAGGAAACAUCAGAGAUUUGCAAAAGGUAAACCAUGUGGGUGUCGGAGAAAACAGAAAACACCAGAGACAACGUGGAAGUGGUAAUAAAUGUGGAGAAUAAGGUUGUGGGGAAAGAAGAUGAAGUGUGUGUGUGCCGUGUCCCGAAAUCCUUGAUAAGCGGCCACCCAGAAGCUUUCAGCCCUCACUUUGUAGGGCUUGGACCCUACCAUCAUCUCCGUUUUGAGCUCACCAUGACAAAAGAGCUCAAAUUAGCUGCAGCAAGUAGGAUCAUUAACUACUCCCUCAAUACGGACCUCCCCGAUGUUGAAUCUUUCUACCACGAAGAUGCCUUAAAGUCCUAUGCCCACGAAAAAGACAAGCUCAUCGACGAUAUCACCACCGAUGGCAUAUUCGUGUUGGCUUUGCUCAACAGGAGUCUUGAUGCCCAACCUCAGCAGAAUACUUACUUCUUGACGGGAAAACAUGGCAUGCCCCUCGUCAACGCUUUUGGUGUAGAGUUGACCAUCGACGCUGUCACCAGGGACGUUUUCAUGCUCGAGAACCAAAUUCCGACCCGUGUUCUUCAUCAAAUCCACCAAGCCAACACCCUACAUGGAAUUCAAUCACAAGAUUUGGGUGCAAAAAUGUUAGCUUUCUGUGAAAAGUACUGUCCACUCGCCAAGCCCGAAAGUCUCUCCAAAAACGCAGAAGAGCAUACCCAUUUGUUGGAUCUCAUGUACCAUUUGGUAGCACCUAUGCCCCCCAAGACUGCAAUACCUAAACCUGAGGUUUACCCUGAUAUUGACCCUGAGGUUGGUCCCCACCCUAAGCCAGAUACAACGAUGACUGAGAUGCCUGAACCUGUGGAAGUGACGACUGACAAGCCACCCGAGUCAGUGGUAGUGAAAGUUGAGAAGCCCGACAUGAGAAGCAGUAAGACAGAGACAAAGGGAUGCUGUUUCAUAUUCCGUUCCAUAUGCUUUAAGAUACUUAUCUUUUUUAUGAUCAUAGGCUUAAUUUUGUGGUAUUUGCUUCUUUUGAUCUGGCGAAUAGUUUUUGGUGUGUUACUUAUUCUAUAUCGUAUUCUAGCUGCUAUUGUUAAACCAGUGGUAAUAGUAUUUGUGAAGCUUUUAUCUUCCUUUCUCCCCGUGAGUGAGGACAUGGCGCCAGUAAUUGGUUACAUGAAGGCACCAGAAUCAAAAGAGUCUGAACAAGGAAAAGUUUGGACGUUGGGCAACAUCUUACCUAAGAAAUGGGUUGAUAGAAUUCGGCAGUACUUAUUUGGGGACGAGGAUAAACGCCCCGCUGUUACAAUUCAAUCCGUGACUGAACUGGAUGGUGCUGGGUUUCAGUUCAAACCCGCGAACAGCAUCAAAGACAUUAGAUUCCAGGCUAGAAAGAAGGAAUUGUUUUUGCCUGUUAUGAAAUUAGAUGAGAACUCAGAGGUGAUAAUGAGAAACCUGGUGGCCUACGAGUCAUUGACUAGACCCAACUACUUAAUCUUCACAAGGUACAUUGAGAUUAUGAGAGCUAUCAUAGACACUCCUGAGGAUGUGAAGCUGUUGGUGCAGAAGAAUAUCAUUGUGACUAAGCUGAAUGAUAAAGUGGUGGCAGACCUUUUCAAUGGGAUGAGUACAUCCAUUAGGCCUACCGAAACUCCUGAACUGGAAGAAGUGAUUAAGAAAGUGAAAAGGAGGUAUGAAGAUAGCCAGUGGCUACAGAAGGUGGUGAAAUAUGUGUCUUCUUCUUGGAAAAUCCUGACAGCUAUUGCGGCUUUUUCUUUCUUUAUUCUGAACACCGUGCAAACCUUUUGCUCUGUUUAUGACUGCGCUUCUUAUUUCCCCUCAAAUUUGGGUAAACUUCCAGCAGUUUCGGAUAAUGGUUUAGUAAGUUAUAUUUAAGACUAUGAUUGUAUUUCGUAAUUGUACUUGUUGUUUAUGUACUUGAGUACCGUGUUUGAGUAUGUCUUCAGUUUCCUUCGUUGUGCUUUCCAUUUUCUCUAUUAUGGUGUGGAUCCUUGGUAGAAGUUCUUCAUCGUCACUCUUAGUUUAUUUCACCUUUUAAUAAUAAAAAACAUUUUAAUCCAAAAAUUGAAUAAAAUAAGCACUACAAAAAAUAAAACAUUUUGACAACACUCUUUUUUUAUUGUUAAAUAGCCUAAAUCGAUUGUUAAGACUUUUAACUCCCAAAUGAAAAAAAAUAAAAAAUGUAAUAACAAAAUCUUAGUCCUAAAAUAGUUUAACAUCGAUUUUUAAUUCGAUUGCUAAAUAAUUAUCGAAAAUUCGAUUUUUAAUUUAGUCACGUCCAAGUAUUGAGACCAAACUAAUAACCAAAUUGUGGUACUAAUUGAAUAAAACUUUAUUAGAUAUUAAAAAAAAAUUGCCCAGUAAUGUAACCAAAAUUUGAUUGAAUUUUAAAAAAUAUUAAGUUGCUAAUUCUGGGUUAAUGAGACAAUUUUAUUAAAUUUUUUUAAAAAUUGAUGCAAAAUUUUAUUAAUUUAAAAAAUCGGUUGGUAAUUUAGGUAACAACUCAUAGUUUUCAGUCAAUAAUGAGUAAUAUUUUUAAUUUAAAAUAGUUUUUUACAGUUAAAUUAGUGGCAAAAAAUAGAAACGUUUGACUACCAAUAUCUUUUGAUCACUUAAUACAAAAUUUAAAUAUUUUAACUAGAGAAAUAUCAGUAACUAUGGACAAGAAUUUGACCUACUUAUAAAUAAUAUUUUGAUAGGUUUAUAAAUAUAUGAAAUUCAAUUACAAAUUAAAGCACUGAUACAUUUAUUCCUGGAUGUUAAAAAGUAAAAUUAAACAUUCCAUUCAAUAAAAUUAAAUAAUUACAAAUUACUCAUUUUUUAUAAGAUUUAAAUCUUUCUUUUUAUCCUAAUUGUCAAUUCCUUUCAUUCUCUCUUGAUAUUUUAUUCCUUUUGCCAACUCAUGCAUCACUCACGUGUGGGGUUUCAAGCAUUGAUGUGAAAUUGGAUGAAACGAACCUAAGGUUUUCAAAUUUAUUGGUUUGUGAAUCUUUCCAUCAAAUUUAGGAACUGAAAACUAAUGUGUACAACUUAAAGUAUAUUUUAGCGACCAAUGAAUUUUCUGUGAUUAAUACAAUAUUAUUAUUUUUAGUAGUUAAUAUAAUAUUAUUCUAAUCACUAAUCAGGAGAUUAGCAAAUUACAUUUAACCAUAAAAAAAACAUAUCUGAUCACUAUUUUAAUUAUGAUACAAAGAAAUCUUACUAUAUACAUUAAUUUGGUUGCUAUUUCGAUUAUUAAUUUGCAAUUAUUACCAUUUGAUAAUUAUUUCAAUUACAAUUUACGAUCAACUUUUUUCGAUUGCUAAAUUACAAUUUUUUUAAUGAAAAUUCUACGGUUUUAUUAUUGACAUACUAUUCUAGCAAAUAUUUUUAUCCAUGUUGCCAUUGCCACCAUCAUGCUAAAAUUUAAAAUCCGGAAAAGUUGGUAACAAAUAUUAGUUUAUUUAUAUUAAGACAAAUUCGUAAUAAUUAUAAAGUGAAUGCAAACUAAGUCAAACAAUGAAUACAACCAAGAACUUUAAACUAUUGUGAGGGUAUUGAUUUCAUAUAAACGACGAAGGAGUUUAUUAAUAAUUGUAAAGUGGAGUUUGUAUUUGGGGAAGACAGAUGCUUUGUGUAAAUAAAUCUGAAUUUUGUCUUGCACGCUAUGGCCACAAGAAUAUGCUAGUUAUGGAUAAAUGUUUUCUUAAAUCUCAAAAAUUAUUUUAAAUCUUUAAUCAAUAUUUGUAUAACACUGAUUAAUGAUAGUUGUAUUUUUCUAUUGGUAUAUUAUAUACUAAAAUUUGUUGACGUUUACUAAAAAUCAAUUGCAUUGGGUUGUAUAUUAUAAGAUUAAUCAUGAAAAUGUGUGUGAACACUAAAUAAUUAAUAAUAUCAUUAAACUAGUCGCGCACAAAAAGCUUAUAUGUCUAUUGUUUUAAAAUUGUCGUCUCCUUAAUUAAGUAGAAAAAAGAAAACAUUUGUUAAUCAACAACUUGAUCUAUAAUUGUGAAAGUUCACAUUUGUCUUAAAGAAAACCCGUCUAUAUCCGAACUAAUUCUUUGAGAUUAGGUAAAUUGAUUGAAAUUUAAAAUAGGACAAUGAUAUGGUAACAAUUUUUUUUUAAUAAUUUUUUUAAUAAUAAACUAUAUGUUAUUAUUUUAUUAAUUUAUAUAUUUAAAACAGGUAAAAAAGUUGUCAAAGAAAAAUUAUUAAAAACAUUUUCCUUUAAAAUAUUAAUAAUGGAACUAUUUUUUUUUUCAACGUUAUCGACAUGUUUUUCAUUUUAAAAGAAGACCAAGACCCCUAACCUCGGAGUUUUGUAAGUCAUACAACGUGAACGAGGCAGUAAAUAAUUAUGAACUUGCCUUAUAAAAAGACCAAAGACUUUCCCUUCAUUAAAUAAAUAACAUUAAUAGUAAGACUUCCACCCACUUGAUCUUUAGAAUGAUUAUCCUAAGAUCAAAUUUAGAUCUGGAUCUCAAACAAAAAUUCUAAAUAUAAUUAAAAUUUCUUAUUUUGUAUUAGAGGAGGACACAUCUCUAACAUAUUUUCUUUGUAAAAAUUGAAAAAAGGUUUCAAAAUAAUAAAAAAAUAUAUUUUAAAUUACUUUCUUUUAAGAAAAUACACAUUAAAAUCGUUAAAAAAAUAAAUUCAAGGUUUACUAUUGAAAUAAAAAAUCAAAUAAAAUGUUAAAGAAAAGUAUACUGCAACACAGUGAAAUCUAUCAAAAGAUGUUGAAAUCUUGCGUUAAAUAUAUUGGAUAGAUGGGGUGAUGAUAGUAUAAUAGUAAAUAAAUGAUGGGGGUGAUGAUUAUGUUAUGAUACCAAAUUCUUAAAACCCUUUCCAUCUCUAUAUAAAUAUACGUUCACGCUGAAGAAAGAAAUAUCAAGUGAUUCUGCAAAACCUAAACCAUGAGCGUCAUGGAGAAAGCAGAAAACACCAGAGACAACGUGGAAGUGGUAAUAAAUGUGGAGAAUAAGGUUGUGGGGAAAGAAGAUGAUGUAUGUGUGUGCCGUGUCCCGAAAUCCUUGAUAAGCGGCCACCCAGAAGCUUUCAGCCCUCACUUUGUUGGGCUUGGACCCUACCAUCAUCCCCGUCCUGAGCUCACCAUGACAGAUGAUCUAAAGUUAGCUGCAGCAAGGAGGAUCAUGAACCACGCCUGCAAAAUCUACCUCUCCGAUGUUGAACCUUUCUACCACGAAGAUGCCUUAAAGUCCUAUGCCCACGAUAAAGACAAGCUCCUCGACGAUAUCACGACCGAUGGCAUAUUCGUGCUGGCUUUGCUCAACAGUAGUCUUGAUGACCAACCUCAGCAGCACACUUACUUCUUGACGGGAAAACACGGCAUGCCCCUCGUCAACGCUUUUGGUGUAGAGUUGACCAUCGGCGCUGUCACCAGGGACGUUUUCAUGCUCGAGAACCAAAUUCCCACCCGUGUUCUUCAUCAAAUCCACCAAGCCAACACCCUACAUGGAAUUCAAUCACAAGAUUUGGGUGCAAAAAUGUUAGCUUUCUGUGAAAACUACUGUCCACUCCUCCACUUCGAAAAACUCUCCAAAAACCCAGAAGAUCAUGCUCAUUUGUUGGAUCUCAUGUACCAUAUGGUAGCACCUAUGCCCGACCCCCAGUCUGCAAACAAACGUAAGACUAAACGUAAACCUAAGGUUGACCCCGACCCUAAGCCAGCUACAGGGACGACUGACAAGCCCCCCGAGCAUGUGGAAGUGAAGAUUGAUGAGCCCCCCGAAUCUGCGGAACUACUGACGACUGACAAGUCUCCCGAGUCCUCGGAUAAGCCCAUGGGUAAUACGGACAACGCCGAGAGCCCAGACAAGAGUGACAGUAAGACAGAGACAAAGGGAUGCUGUUCGAUAUUGGGUUCCAUAUGCUUUUACUUUUUUGUGUUUUUGUUUCUCAUUGGCAUAAUUGUGUGGUAUUUGCUUGUUUUUAUCUGGAAAAUAGUUUAUGGUGUGUCACAUUUUCUAUUUCGUAUUGUGAAAAAGGUAUCAGAGGUGUUUCUGAUGGUGUUAACCUUCUUUCUCCCUAUGACUGAAGACAUGGGGCUACUGAAUAAGACCGAUCAAGGAAAAGUUACAACGGUGGUGGACUCAGCUAAGAAAGCGGGUGAUACAAUUCGGCGGCACUUCUUUGAGGAAAAGGAUACACGCCCCGCUGUUACAAUUCAGUCCGUGACUGAACUGGAUGCUGCUGGGUUUCACUUCAAACCCGUGAACAGCAUCAAAGACAUUAAAUUCGAUGUGGGAAAGAAGAUAUUGUUUUUGCCUGUUAUUCAAUUGGAUGAGAACUCGGAGGUGAUAAUGAGAAACCUGAUGGCCUACGAGUCAUUGACUAGAUCCACCUACUUAAUCUUCACAAGGUACAUUGAGAUUAUGAGAGCUAUCAUAGACAUUCCUCAGGAUGUGAAGCUGUUGGUGAAGAACGAAAUCAUUGUGACUGAGCUUAGUGAUAAAGUGGUGACAGAUCUUUUCAAUGGGAUGAGCAUAUCCAUUAGGCCUACCGAAACUCAUGAACUGGAAGAAGAGAUUAAGAAAGUCAAAAUGUCGUAUGAACAAAGUCAGUGGCUACCGAAGAUGAUAAGAGAUUAUGUGUAUUCUUCUUGGAAAAUCAUCACAGUUAUUGCGGCUCUUUCUUUCUUUGUUCUCACCACCGUGCAAACCUUUUGCUCUGUCUAUGACUGCGCUUCUUAUGUCUCCUCAAAUUCCGCUAAACUUUCAGUAGUAUCGGGUAAUGGUUUAAUCAGUUCUAUUUAAGGUUAUGAUGGUAUUCCGUAUCUGUACUUGGUUCUGUGUGUCCGCUUUGUGUACCCAAGACUACCGUGUUUCUUCAAAUCCAUGUGUUGUUAGAAGAUGCAUGAAUAAUAUUAGACCGCAAAAAUUAUAUAGAUUAGUUUCAUUUAUAA